CUCUGUUCUCCGCGCCGCACUGAGGGGCUUUCUUCGCAGCCGUGGGAAACUGGUGGGCGAGCGCGCGCCCCGCCGCCAUGUGGACGCUCGGCCAGGGAAAGCCCAGUGAACCAGAAAAGGAGAAUUUUUCUGCAGUGCUGGAGUGUGAAAACGGCUACAGGAGGAGGAAAUGCCAGCUUCCACCCAGUUCUUCCUCCAUCACCCUCACGAACUUCUUGGCCAGGGAAUACCCAUCACUGGAGCUUGUCGCCCCACUAAAGUGCUCUGGGGGUCCUGGGGUGCUUGCCCCUCUCUCCUCCAGCACUUGCCCACUCUGCUCUUCUGGCAGCUGAUGGUGGUUUCAGAAACAGUGAGGCCAGAAUCCCUAAAGCGCGCUCUGCUCACCACCCCCCACCCGCACCCCCUACCUCCAACCUAGAGCACUUGAGAUGACUAACUGCAGCGUGGAUGUCAAGGCAGGCCUGGAGCUCAGGAGGAGGGUACAGAGAGAAACCUGCUUUACCAUUGGUGAACUUGACAUCAUGGUCUUGGACACGCACUGUGGAAAGAUGGGCUUGUACAUUCAAAAUGCAGGAAGCAGUGAGCUCCAGGAGAUGGUGAAGCUCCGGGAGUAGUGAAGAACAGGGAAGCCUGGCAUGCUGCAGUCCAUGGGGUCACACAGAGGUGGAAGGACUGAGUGACUGAACAAUAGCAACAAAGCAGUGAGCUCAAGGUCUGACCCAUAGCCCUCGCAUUCUGCUGAUGGGAAUGAGGGAAGACACCCAGAUGCACAGCCUCUGUAGCUGGAGACCAGACAGUGUUUCAUAGCAUCCUUCAUGACGGAGACCUUGAGGGUGGUUAUGUCCAAGGGCUGGUGAGUUGUCCGAGGAUGAGCCUCAAGGCCCAUGGCAGCAAGGAAAGCACUUCCUAUACAGCCUCCAAGUCUUCAGCAUGUUUGCAGGCACUUGGAUGGAGCUGUAGGUGGAAGACUCCUCAAGUUUGCAGACCAUCAAAUCUGAGAAGAGUAGGAAAUGCACUGUGUGAUAAAAGCUAACAGGUUUGCUCAGGCUGGGUGAAUAGGGCCCAUUUCUGAGAUGAGUCUGAAGACGGUUCAGUGUCACACUCUGCUUAUGGGGUCCAAGACAUCACCUGCCUCAGCAUGUGUGGGGAAAAAAAAAAAAACACGGAAGGAUCUGGGGUAUUCAGCAUAUUGCCAAUCAACUGUGUGGUUAAUCUGAACAAAACAGAGAUGUGAUCUUCAGCUACAUUGAAGAAGUUCUUGUUUUCCAAGAUUUCUUUGUCCUGUGAAUCCCAUUAAGGGAUUUCUUAUGGGUCCACUGACCACUCAAAUCAAAAACUUCUGGGGCUUGUUAAAAAUUCAGAUUUGGGGGCCCACCUAGAUUAUUCAUUCAGGCUGUAUAGGGAGGAAGCCCCAGAAG
rnacentral:lncRNA from 1 species